rnacentral:lncRNA from 1 species
UACCACCAAUUUCUUUUUGCUGAUUUUGCCCCUAAUUUGUUUUUCUGAUUUUUCCCCUAGUCAUAAUUUUCUUUUUCAUUUUGUUUUUUCGAUGUUGCCCCCAUAUUUGUUUUCCAAUUUUGCCCCUAAUUAUUUUUUUUCUAUUUCUUUUUUGGGAAUAAUAUUUUUUACUACCAAUUUUUUCUUUUCGAUUUUGUCCCUACUCCAAUUUUUUUGAAUAAAUUACAGUUUCAGUUCCUAGAGUUUCUAAUAAUUACAGUUUGGUCCCUAUAAUUUUUAUUAAGUACAGAUUGAUUCCCAGAGUUACUGAAAUCCAGAAUGGGUUCCUAGAGUUCGUUAAACUAUAUUUUUUGACCUGACAUUUGGUUAUUGUUAAUUUAGUCCCCAAACUUAUGGAUGUUGUCCAAAUUCAUCCCGGAAACUUUUUGAUUCUUGUAGUUUGGUCCGUCAACAAUCCUUAGAAUUUCUGAUAAUUAUAGUUUGGUCCCUAAAAUUUUUGUUAAAUACAGAUUGGUGCCUAGAGUUACUGAUAAUUACAGAUUGGUCCUUAGAGUUGCAGUAGUUUGUUUACCACUAACUUUUUAUCCGAUUUUGCCCCUAGCCAUAAUUUUUUUCUAUUUUGUUUUUUUUUGAUUUUGUCCCAGAUUUUUUUUGUCGAUUUUGCCCCUAAUUAUUUUUUUUUCCUUUUUUUUUAGAAUAGUAUUUUUUUACCACCAAUUUCUUUUUGCUGGAUUGCCAAGAAUGGGGGGUAUGAUUUGGGAACUAGUUCAUAUUUCUUUUCAUUUUGUUUUUUCGAUGUUGCCCCCAUAUGUGUUUUCCAAUUUUGCCCCUAAUUAUUUUUUUUCUAUUUCUUUUUUGGGAAUAAUAUUUUUUACUACCAAUUUUUUCUUUUCGAUUUUGCCCCUACCCAUUUUUUUAGCCAUUUUAUUUUUUGUCGAUUUUGCCCUUAACCAAUUUUGCCCCUACCAAAUUUUUCCCCCGAUUUGCCGCUUUUUUUUGAGUGAACAAUAAUUCCAACCACCAUUUUGGCCCUACCAAUAAUUUUUUCUAAUUUCUUUUGCCAAUUUUUCCCUUACCCAAUUUUAUUUUACGAUUUUACCCCUUUUUUUACCGAUAAAGCCCUUACCAUUUUUUUUCUAUUUUUGGGGUUACCAUUUUGCCCCUUGCUGAACGUUGGACGGUUUUAACCCUCUUAGUUGAUUGAAUUACUUGCUCGUUCAUAGCAUGUGCAUACUCCUACUAGUAUAUAUAAAAAAACAUGAAGAUAUUUAUAUAUACAUAUAUAUACAUAUAUAAAUAUCAUUAUAUAUAUAUAUAAUAUAUAUAUAUAUAUAGAUAGAUAGAUAGAGAUAGAGAGAGAGAGAGAGAUCCGUGAGAGAGAGAGGGAGGGAGAGAUCCCUUGCUUUGAAGUGUGAACAUUCCUAAAUUCAAGGUCAAAGAAAGGCUGCUUGGCUUGUCCAUCAUUAAUGCUUGUCAGGAGUCUUUUUCAUUCGGAGAUGAAAGAAUGAAGAUUAUCUCAGCAUUUUAAGCUAUUUGGCCACUGUCCAUUUCCGACCGGUAGAGAUAUUUAUUCGACCGGUCGGUCUUGAGUCUGUUUGUGCUCCGACUUUCUUCGACCGUUAGUACUUUUUGUUUUGCAUUCUAUCACCUCUCAAAAAGCUUUUUUUGUCCUGCAAAACCCUUUUACAACUCUUGCGCUAAAUAAUGGUUAAAUAUGAAAGAUAAUAUGUACAAUUGAUGCUAAAAUGCACAAUUGGUUAAAUAACAAUAUAUUGUGUAAAUCACAUGAUGUGCUGGGCCACAAUAAACUCACAGUACGAGUUAAAUUAGGCAUGGCACAAGGCACAGAUGGACUGGGCUCAUUUGACACCUCUAGUUAUGACAUAUAUUUGUGGUUGCCCCUUUUUUCUUCUUUGCAUGCACAUAACUGCAAAUUUAUACUUUCUGCAGAUUAAGUCCUGACUGUGCACAAACAUGAGUUUUUCUCGCAUAGACUAGUAGCUCGGAAUAAGUUCUAGGGGAUCAGUACCCAAAUAUGAAUCAACUGGAACUCAAAUAUCAGAUUAAUUUUUCUCAAUUUAAAAUCAGGGUAAUAUGUCACACCAGAUAGCAUUGAAUCUAGGUCGAAAAGGUAACUCCAAAACAUAAGGUACAGUAGCCUCCUGUUUGUAUAGCCAAGGAUUUUUUUGAUAACUCGAUAUUUGGUCCACUAAACCGACUAAUCCGGAGGGACCAAUCCCACCAUCCGCUAACCAAGAAAAUCCAAUAUCCAGUUGGUAUAUAUAUUAUAGUAGAUAGGUGCCCAUGGUCUAAAUAGAUGCUGAUCCCUCACCCUUGCAUUUGUUUUUUUGUCAUCUUUGACAUCAAUAUGUGACGUGCUCGGUCCUGCUUGAGUGAUUCUAUUUUCUCUCUUAUUUCUUGUAUCUCCUUAUCCAGUGCAGAAAAUCUGAAGUCUGUGGCGUCUCUCUCCUGUUCGGUUUCUUCCUCUUCUCAAUCUUCACCAUCCUCUGAGACUUCUCUUCCCUCUGAGUCAGAAAGGAUGAAUCCCGCUUCUCGAACUUGAUGAGCCACAUAUGACUCUUCCCCUACUGAAGGUAAUGCCUUCAUAACUGCCACCAAUAGGUGAUCAGUACAUGAACUAAAUACUGAGAGGUUUGGCCUUGGAAAGAGGUUGAAUUUCAGUUUAUGGUCUAACUAAAAAAUUGGAUUAUACUUGCUAGAGUUGAAUAGGCACUUCGAUUGCAAAUUAUUUGCAAUUCCAAUCCAGUGAUUAAAUGCCUCAUACUACAGGAAAAUAAGUUGUGGUAGCAUGAGGAAAUGAUAAUAACGUCCUUGUAGACAUCUAUCAGAAACAAAUUUCAGUAUUAACCUUAAAAUUAUUUUUUUUCUGACUGUAAUUCGCUUGGCAUUUAUAUAAUGAAAAGUAUGGUUGAACUAUAAUUAUCGUGGCAUAGUUUACCAGAAACUAUAAAGAAUAGGCAUACCUUCAACAAAAGAAUGAAUUUGAAAAUCUUCAGUAUUGUGGCUUAAAUUAUACAAAAUAAAAACUUCUGCUUCUGAUGGCAAAGGGAAAUAUGGAGCACUUGACGCGUUUUUGUUUAAUUUUGGGACCAUUAUUGGGAAUCGAGAUUGUUGUGCACUUUUCCAUAUGUAGAGGGCAUAAAUCAUAACAACUAGAUUCAGAGGAGAUCUCAGUUGACUAUGGUGAUUGUGUGCAUUUUCAAAUUAGAGGACAUAAAACCAUAACAACUAGAUUCAAGAAAGAAAGAUCUCAGUGACCGAGUGUGCAAAAUCUUACGCAAAGACUAAAGUUAGGAUAAACUCAGGGAAUGCACAAUCAAUAUGAGCGACAAAAUUAAAAUGGUUACAAUAAUAAAACGUAAUGGUCUGGAUCUCGUUCUUCUCGCCAGACAUCACAGUAAUACUCGUUUGAAGCGUUCUUUCGGAAAAAGAGGAUCAAUGAGAUGUGAGUAGAUGCUAUGAGCUCUAUGUUUAGCAGUGUGUGGCAGUGAUGGGAUGCAUUUACAUGGAGAUUUAGAUUACAAGGGACACAACGUAGGAAAAAGCCCAUAAAUGUAGAGCUGCAAGUGCUGCACUGGAAGUCACCAAUUUUCUGAUUACUAUGCCGGUUCAUGGGAAGAUGACGGUUUUCAGACGAUAUCUCUUAGGUGGGAGUUAUUAGAGAAGACAUGAAGGUCCAGUGAAAUCCACUCAGCACAUUGAAACAAAGACAUUGUGCUGUUUGGAGUCACAAGCAUGCCACAAACCUAACUGUAGUUUCAGAGAAACUUGGCUAUCAGGGGGUGUUGAGGGUGGAAAGGGUUGUUGGAGGACUCUUCUGCAAUUCAGCACAGGAUUUUGUGCACCAAAAAAAGUGCAUUGGAGGCAAAACAUAGCGUGAGCCUCAAUUCUUGACUGCACGCAGAGCAACUAUGUUGCUUUUCCUCCACAUCAAAUGGGAUUCAAGGAUGGGCUAUGACUUCUCGAUGUUGAAUUUCUGUCUAUGAAUUCGCUGUCUAUGUUGCACAAUUGAGUGCCACAGCAAAUCCAAAUCAAAUAGGAAGAUGGAACAAUGGAAGGUCAAAAACUUUGCAUUAUAGCGUACACCAUGGCAAUUACGAUAUUUCUGUCAUUAAUAGGGGGGUCAGAUUAGAUGAUAUACAGAGACCGAGGGUGAAGGGGGUGGAAGGGUGUUGGAUCUGUGUGUGCAACUCUAUAAAUUAAAAUGACUGUGGAUGAAGGAAUUGACAUUCAGCACAGGCAUACAUCAAAUCCUCGAUGGAUUCCUCGCACACAGAACAUUUGAAAAAAUCUCAUAACAAACUGACUAAAGAGCAAAGGAUGCUGAUGAGGCAAAAUGUUUAAUCUGUAAAUAGAUUUGCAUUUGUCUGUUAGGCAUGUACUAGAGCAGGAACAUCCAGGUAAAACCUACACUCAAGACAAUGGUAGGAUGAAGCCCAAGCAUCUCCGAUUGAUAGGGUAACACAAGUAUUGGAAUUUCUCGAGAGGGUAAGGUGCCGUUGGAAGAAGGUUGAGUGUGUGUUGAGAGAGUGUUGUGGGUGAAAGAAUGAUGGAUCUCUCGUAGCACUCAAUCAUGAUUUAUGUACAAAAAAAAGUGCUUUGCAUGCAAGAAGUAUUUUGACCCUUUGAUGGGUUUACAGACCAGAACAGUCAACCUGUAUCUUCCUUGGAACAUUCCAUUGGGAUGAGGGAUGUGGUGGCUAAAAUAUUGAAUUGUUUCAUGUGAUCUUCAUUGUGUGGGAUAAACCUAGCACAAUAAAUGUGCAGAUCAAGCUGGCAUUCGGAACAAAUGGAAGGCGUAUCCAGCUUUGAUUAUCCCACAAGCAAGCAAUCGAAUCUUUUUGAAUGAAGGAGGAUCUUGUGACACGACGAGAAAGGGUUAUAGGGUGUGUUGGGUGAAAGGGGUGUUGAUAGGUCCAUGGGCAUUUGGCACAUGAUUGUGGUGAUGACAUAUUUGCCAAGUGGCACAAGUCACACAUUAUACAGAACCCUUUAUGGGUUUGUUGCACAUAGCGGCCAAUCAAAAAUCAAAUUCAUAAUAUUUCUUCAUGACAUGCAACUUGGAAUCAGUGGGGAGGCGAUUGUGUAAAAAUGCUGAAUCUGUUGAUGAUGAUUUCUCAUGGGAAUGGGUGUGAACCUGGCCACAAAGAAUGUCCAGGUCAAAACUUACAAUCUGGAGCCAAUGGUAGGUGAAGCCAGACUUCCGUUUCUGGCAUGCAAGCAUUAGAAUGUGAACCUCUCAAAACGGUAAGGUGCCUUUGCAAGAAGAUAGAGGGUUGUGGCGGGUGAAAAGGGUUGUUGGAUUUUUUGUGGUAGUUCACUACAUGAUGGAUUGGAUGAAGUAUCGGCAAAGUCGCAAACAUAGGCAUGGGAACUAGAGACAAAUUGAUUGCAACCAAAGCAGUCAUUCUACCAACCCUCCAUAUUACAGAUCGAUGGUCAAGGUAUGCUGGUGGCUAAAAUGUUGGUCUCCAUCUUCUAUCUCUUCACCCCCUCCCUCUCAAGAGUGUUAAUUACUCAACUCUUUUCUUGCUUUUGAUUUCCUAGUUCAAAAGGAAUUUCUAGUUAAAUGUGAUAUUUUUGUAGGCUUUGAGAGAAUCUAGACAUGAGCCUUCCCUUUAUCUUUCACUCUUUAGAUGCUCUCAAAGACUAAAAAUUGAUCAUGUAUUUGUGUUUCUGGAUGACUUGACCUGGGUUUGGCAAGUUAAUAGUAUUAAACGAGGAUCGAGAGGUUCAACCUAAAAUCAAUUAGUAAUAGGUGGAGUACUAAGAAGUAUGGAUAUGGACACGAGACACAAAUACACAAUUUUUCUAAAAAUUAGGAUACGGAUACGUCGGGGAUAUGCUGAAUAAAAUAUAUUAAAUACAUAUUUUUAUAGAAUAAAUAAAAUAAAAUUAGAAAUAUGUUUGUACAAAGAAAGGCCUAGUAGCUUAGAUUUUGAAUUACCUCAUAAAAUGUAUUGGACUAAAGAAAUGAGUAUUGUAUCCCCACGUUUGGCACAAUGAGGACAACCCAAUGUGAGUUUAACUGAAUUGGCUGAAUUGCAAAGUCUUUGUCUUGGCUACAUAAGUCUCUCAUGGCUUGCUAAUCUCAUGGCCACGCACAUGACCUAUACAAAGGGCAAAACUAGUUUUUUAGAUUUUUCUUGGGAUAAAAAUGAUUUGUGGACGGAGGAUGUUCACAUGGCAACCGUUUUUUUCAAAGUCAAGGUUGAUAUCAUUACCCAAAUUAAAAAUAUGAGUGGAAUAAAAUUAAAAAUUAGAGUGAAAGUUGGAGACUGUAAAAGGAAAAUACCCUUUUCUUAUUUUUUUUUUAUAUGUUCAUAUAUGUCACGCCCGGUCAACCAAGACCCGGCCACGUAAGCAAAAUAACUCAAAUACGGAAAGUCAAAACUAAAUAAUAAAGAAAUAUACUUGUCUUACAUCAGAGUACAAUUUAAAUCCUUGUCCAUGGACCAUGCUAUCCAUGAUGAUCUAUAUAAUACAAAUAAGAAUAAUAAUCCAAGAAAAAUAUACUGAAUUCAUUAAAUCGGAUAUUCAUCUCCACCCAUUAGAUCUCACGUUCUAUCUUUCAUGAUCAUAGGCUAAUCACCCAUAAAUUUCUAACUUUCUCAUUUCCUUCUAAUUCUCCUCCCGCGAACAAUUUCCUCUUUCUUUCUUUAUUUAUUAUAUAUCACCGUUAGAUCCAACGUCUCUAUCUUUCCUGAUCAUAGGCUAAUCACACCAUAUAAUUCUCAAUUUUCCAUUCCUCUAAUUCCAUCCCAGACGCACAAUUUCUCUCUUUCUUCUUUAAUUUCUUAUUUUUUAUUUUAAUUUAUUUUAUUAUUAAUAUUAUUAUUUAUUAUUCUUAUAUAUUUAGAAAGAGUAAUGAUUGUGUUUGCACAAUCCUUUUUAAACAAAAUAAAUUUUAUUUUUCACCCCUCAUCUUUUAAUUGAUCCCAAAAGUUUUCAUAUUCAAUUUAACCCCAAGUUGUAAUUAAUGACUUGAACUUAUAAUUUAACCAAGUCAUAAAAAAAAAUAGAAAGACAUAAAAUUUAUGUUAAUCAAAUUUUUACCCACAUCGGGCCAAAUAAAUAUACCAAUUUUUUUUUUUGAAUUAAACAUUUAUAAAAAAAAUAUCAACUGGUUCCCAUGCCUACGAAUCGGGAUAAACCUCGGUACCUGCAUUAAAUUUAUAGUAAAUGUGAGUUAUCUUUAAAGAUUUAACAAUGGACUUGAUGCUCCAGCAAAAAAUUCAUGAUACAUAUCAUAUAAUGAAAACAUUGAUUCAAUAACAUAUGCUUUCAUUUUACCAAAAUAUACUUUUGAUUUUUAAUCCGUGAUUUUUCCAAUCAAUCAAUUCUCAUUUAAGAUUUCUCAAAAAAAACAAAUUCUAAGUUCCUUUGAAUAACAAUUAUAAAAAUUACAAAUUUUCAAGUUGUAAUUUCUCACUCAAACAGUUUCUCAAAUUUGAUUUUUUUUCUCACAAAACUUUACUCCAAUAAUUAGAAUGGACACACCUAGGCUAAUACCUAAAUGGCCUACUUCUCGGACUUUCCCCGAAGGUUUGGACAUACCCAAUAUCCGGCUACUCUCGGAUUUUCACCGAAUGUUUGACAUACCCAAUAUCCCGGCCUUACUUCUCGGAUUUUCACCGAAGGUUUUGACAUACCCAUUACCGGACGCAUUCUCGGUCACUAACCGAAUGGCGAACAUUCCCAUCCCGCGCGGUUGUUAUGUUUGCCAUCUAGGACUUUUUCUUUCAGGCUUAAUCUAAGCAAUUAAAAUCUGGUAUAUACUAGCAUGUAUUCUCAAAACAUUUUCCAGAUCCAAAUACAUAAAAUUUACACUGCUAACAGCCUUUAAUGUAAAAUAAUAGAAAUAUACAAAAUAUAUAAUCAUCAACACAAUCUAUAUAAAAUCCCAACAAGUAACCCUCGUUUACCAUUUCAUUAUAAAUUAAAGUUUCUCCAUUUUAAGUUUAAUAUUCAAAAUAAUGUUUAUAGACUUUGAUAUAAGCUAUUAACAACAAACCCAAAGUAAAACCCCAACAAAUAACCCCCUUUACUCCCAAUAAAUUACAAGCACUCCAAAAUUGAAGGACGAUGAGAUAAUCCAAAAUACUCCGAUCUCUGAUAUUAUAGCUCAAUAUGAAACCCUAGUGAGUGAUAAUUUAUCUCUGAUUUAUCACCCGCUUGAACACACUCACUCACCCCGAUCUAACACUCUAAACACAAUUUUUUUCUUCUUCUAUGUUCAGACAGGCACACGCCUGCAGAGAGAGGGGAGACGAAUGGCGUGAGAGAAGAGAGGGAUAGAUCCGGGUGAGAGAGAGAGAGAGUUCGUAUAGAUAUAGAAAAGAGAAAAAAGAAAAAAAAAAAACAUAAUGAUAUGUUUGGGAUGAUUAAGUUUGGGAUGAUUGGUUUGUGGGGGAGAAGAUGAUGUUGGGAGAUUGUAUUGUGUUGUUUGAAAGGGAAUUCAAACGGUAUGAAGGAAGAAUCAAACAAAGGCUCUCAGGCUUGUUUGGUGUUGUAAACACCAAAUUAACUAUCAAAUUUUGGAUCCAAAUUAAACUCAAUUCUCACUAUAAGCCCAAUAUCUCAAGUACAUUAAAUCCAAUGAUCCGAAUGGGCCCAAAUACAAAAAUACUUAGAUACCAUUAAAUACAUUGUGGUCUAAAUUAUUAUUUAUAUUGUUUAUUUAUACCUAUAUAUUAUAUAUUAUAUAUAUAUAUAUAUAUUAUAUAUAUAUAUAUAUAUAUAUAUUUUUUUUUUGAAAACUUACAAUAUAUCUGAAAUUUCUUGUUUAAUUGGAUCCCAGCCUUGGCAUUAUUGCCAUUUACACGUAAACAAGUUCACAUUGUCAAUGCUUUUCAAGCAAUUUGUAAAGAAAAUGAAUUUCAACUUGAAAAUUUUAUUUUGUAAUGAUCUGAGUCAUAACAUAUGUAUUAAAAUUAGCAAUAUAAACACAUCUACCAUAAAAACAAAUACUUAGGACAUAGAGCUUAUCGAAUACUUAAAUCUGUAGAAGCUAACGCUUGUACGAAUGAUCAUAAUAUUUAAUUGGUCAAAUUCCCAAGGUUUAGAUCCUCUCUGUUUUUCUUUUUCUUUUUCCCUUUCCUUUUGUUUUCUUUUCCUUAAAUCUAUGUGAUUAUGUUUCUCUCAUGCUGCAAUCAAACCAGUUUUCUUUUUUUUUUAUUAAAAUAUUAUUCAAAAAAACAUAAUCAAAAAACAUAAAAAUAGAACUUCUCAAUAAAGAGAGAUGGUGAAGAAAGAGCUUCUCAAAACUUGAUAAAUUUUUUUCUAAAAAUAAAGAAAGCGGUGGAAGAAGAGAAAGAGAGAUUGGUCAGGAAAAUAUGAAAUUCGUGACGAAUGUAGUUGUCCUUUGCGGUUCGUGGUUCAGGGUUGCUCUAUGGUGGUUCCAGAAAGUGGUUGGAGGUUGCUCUACGGUGGUUCUAGCAUUUUCAUUUCGCAUUUUAUGAAGAGAGAUCGAGGAGAAAUCACUUUUGCAAUACUGAAGCAUGAUGGGCCAAUCAUUAUCAUUUCAACUUAAUACAAUAGGUAAAUAAUAAACCAUGAAAUUAGUAUUAUUUUGGGGCAUCAAUCAAUACAUAUACUCUUAGUUACAGAUUGGAAUACUUUGUAGAUACAACACUAUUGGCUUUCUAAGUACAGAGAGAAAAUCAGGGGAAAACAGAAAAAAAGUGCAUGAGUUCAUCACCAACCGGUAUAGCAUCAAGGUGCGUUUCUUCUGAAGGUGUGACACAGAGUGCGUAUUGCAUAAAGCUUGAACAAUAAUUAAGCAAUAAACGACCAUAGCAUAAAUAAAUGAUGAAAACAUAAACCCCAUAGCAUACGAAUACGAUGGUGAAAUGAAGUUAAAUGAGAUCCCGUAGCUCACCAUAAGAAAGACUAGGGAACAGUGUAGUGGUGUAAAACCUUGAAUGGGGAGGGCAAAAAUAAUCGCCGUCACUGAGGCUAAAAAAGCUAUGGUAUUCAGACAAUAGAAAUGGAAGAAGUUAUCUCCGUAAAUAAAACCAUUUUCAUAAUUAUCUUUGAUUGGGAUUAGCUUAAAAGGAUUGUCGGAAGGUAGGACCACGGUGGCAUUAAUGUGACUGAUGCUAGAAAAAGGGAUAAGAUUGGUUGAGGACAUUGUGGCGUGAAUAAGGGUGCCGUUAGGGAGGAGAUUUUUAUCACUUCCGCCGUCAACACCACCUGGGGGCUAAGUACAGCCUGGAAGGUAGCCGUUGCGAUUAAAGCAGCCACCACUAGUACAAUAUUUCGCAUCUCCAUUGGAACAUGUUUAUUGCAUGUUGGAAAAAUACGCCGAACAAAAAUAUUCUGAAAAUUGCUCUCGCGACUUCAAGAAAUCAGCCAAAACUAAAAUUCAUGAUGAUGAGCAAGUGAUGAACUUUGUGAAAACUCUGGCACCACCGUAAAAUGUUCGAAAUUGUUGUUUGGCUUUCUCGGAUGAAGUCCUAACGCAAUGUUCAAGGCUGUGCUGCGCCAUCACAUUCUGAUUCAGUUUUGUUCGCGGAGAUCAUUUUUAAAUAAUAACUUCCCAUCUGCAAAAGCCCCCAGUCACCCAAAUCAAUAAUUUGUUAAUUAUUUAUAGCCUCACAUUUUUGUACCACUUAAGAAAAAAUUAUUCUAAUGGGCACGCUCUUUUUACAUGGACCGCUGAUGAUAUCAAAUUAUAUAUAGUUAUCAUUGUCACAAUAUUUAAUGUGUUUGGGAAAGUAAGCGAUUGUAGAUUUGUAUGUAACUUUGUCCGAACCAGUGGAACACUAAUAAGCAUAACCAAAUACAAAAAGUCUAAUCCUUUCCAAAAUAACAAAAAUUAAAAUCCAUUAAUUAAAGAUAUUAGCUUAAAAAAUUGGGGAGCCAAAUCGGAUGAACUUUCUGUUGGGGAAAGAAUCCGCUUCAAGGGUCUGCACUCGCAUUAUAGUAAGGACAAUUCGUUGGGAGAGAGAAGAAAUCGCAUAUGCCCACAUCACACCAUAUUGGCCAAUAUAUACCGUUUCAACAUCAUAACGACUUAAAAAGCUUAAAGUUUGUUAAGUGAUAGUUUUAUCCUAUACACAGUAAAAGCCAACUCCUUAACCUUAGUUUUAUUUUUAAACGUAUACAAAAAAAGGACAAUAUUUCAAUUUCAAUGAGCUCUCAAAAACAAAGACAAAACUUAUCGUUGGCUUGAACGGAACUUAGUCCAUGAACUUUAGGUUGAGGGAUGCGGGGCUAUUGAACAGGGGUGCCACAAACAUGGCUCGAAAGGGCGAACUGGAGGCGUGGUGGUUACCUAGAUUUUACUUUUGUUAGAAAGGGAGAUCUACUUGGAUUCCUCAUAACCGGCCCCAAACAAGAAGAUGAUUCCGAGAUUGGAGAAGAUAUUUCUGAGCAGGGAUAGGGGGGAUCAUGGAAAAUUUCACUAGAAAGAUAUCGUACGAAUAUGCAACGGGCAUUAUCCCCACGAAGAAACUAGUGAGAUCCACUAUAAAUAAGAGGACUAACAAAGUCUUUGGAUUCAAUCACAACCUUAAUCGCUCUGAGCUCUGCUCGUUCAUUCUAUUCCUAUCUCCUACUCUCACGUCGAAUGUCUUCCUGGCAAUCUUGGUGCAGAUGUUCAAUUAAUGUGAGAUACCACCUUAGAGUUGGGUUACUUUUAUUCUUCCUCACUUAUGUUACUUGUAGUUGAGAUUGUUAUUCCUUAGUUUUCUCAUUAAACUCUUAUUUGUUUUAAUCAAAUAUAAAAAAAGGCUACGAGAUUAGGCUAAAGAACGAGAGUAAACCAUGAGGCGUGAAGUGGCGACAGCGGCAGUGGGCAACACUUGUGUUGCCCAUCUCAUCUUUGUUUUUUAGCAACCAUUUGUUGCUGGUUCGACCAAGGAAAUCCCAAACAGGGACUUUAAAGCGCUUAGUUUAUGUUCUCACAGGCAAUGGUAGGCUGUUCUCUCGGAAUGUCAGGUCCUGAUUAUUCGGAACAACACGUAGAAGUAAUUCAGCCAACAUAUCAGCGCUAAACCUAUUUUUGCCGCCAAAAUGUCUAAAAGAGUGAAGUCUCUCCCUCCUGUGACCGUGCGAGCUCUUGUCAAAUUUUUAUGACCCGUAUCACCGUCUCAAUGGCCCGUUUUGCAAGGCAAGUGCAAGGGGCUUAGCCCGUUGGGUUUACUCCUACCGAAGGCCGGCUUUAAGCUCAAGAUUUCGAUGGUGAAAUGGCAUGCCCAGCUGAAAAGCGCUAUAUGAUAGGAGAAUCAACAAAAGGGUGUGGUUGUCUAUGUGAAUCCAAAAUAUUUGGGACCUUCGUAUUGAGUUGUACAACCAUUGAUCUCUCCUUCUGGGCAGAUCCCUUAAGAUCGUUUGAGGCCUCUUCAGGUCUUGUCGACAUUUAAUUAUCUCAAACCUUUAUCGUUCUAUGAAAUUAACCUUUGUGAGCAAUCAUAUAAGGAUGCAUCCAGAAAGGGGGCUAAUAGCAACAUUUUGUAGCAAUAAUUAACAGGCAG